rnacentral:rRNA from 1 species
UACAGAGGUCUCAAGCGUUGUUCGGAUUCAUUGGGCGUAAAGGGUGCGUAGGCGGCGCGGUAAGUCGGGUGUGAAAUCUCGGAGCUUAACUCCGAAACUGCAUUCGAUACUGCCGUGCUUGAGGACUGGAGAGGAGACUGGAAUUUACGGUGUAGCGGUGAAAUGCGUAGAUAUCGUAAGGAAGACCAGUGGCGAAGGCGGGUCUCUGGGACGUGACUGACGCUGAGACGCGAAAGCGUGGGGAGCAAACAGG